AACUCUACCGAUCUACUCUCUGAUCUACCAGGUUCAAUUGACAGACAUGAAAGUGCGAGAGGGGUACUUUAAAUAAAGGCAUGAUUACUAGUGCUAGUACUUAAGAGGGAUUAGGAGCUACUAAUGACAUCCAAAAUGAUGUCUAAGCACAUUAAGCCAUCGCCCACAUCAACCUUGGCAAAGCUCAGAACAUCUACAUAUUACAUAACACACAAUGGAAGAAUGGAGGGGAGAAAGGAAAAUAAAAAGUUUCAUUUGAACCUGGCAAGUAUCUCAUCAUCUCUUCAAAGGUCUGUUUGGCUCUCCUCUGCUUGUCUUCUGUGUAGCGUUCCUCACUGUUCUCACAGAACACAGCAUCUGAGACAAAACCUCAGCAUUAGUCUGAGGCACCUGAGGGUCUGACAGAGGAGGCCACUACAAGGAUUCAUUAGGACCACACAGAGUGAGGAGUCACAGUAAAACAGUUCUAUUGUCUGGGCCUCGGGCUAGAUGGAAGGGAACAAGAAUAAUAUUAACACUGACACUCUGAAGUGCUCGAGUGGGCGAUUAUUGAAUGCCCCCGUUCCAACACACACAUUAACCUUCGCUCUUUCAUGGGAUAAUAUUCAAACCGCUUUACUAGAGUUCACCACACACCUCUGACGUCCCUGGUGUUUGAGGGACACACAGACCACACACCUCUGAGGUCCCUGGUGUUUGAGGGACACACAGACCACACACCUCUGACGUCCCUGGUGUUUGAGGGACACACAGACCACACACUUCUGACGUCCCUGGUGUUUGAGGGACACACAGACCACACACUUCUGAGGUCCCUGGUGUUUGAGGGACACACAGACCACACACCUCUGACGUCCCUGGUGUUUGAGAGGGAUGCACAUGUAACAGACGUGGUCUUGCAAGCUCCGUCGAGGCAUACGGGCCGAUGUUCCCUCCCAACGGGAGUCGAACCUGCCACCUCUGACUUCCCAAGCGCCACCACUACCAACUACGCCAACGAAAAGCUAGAAAUUCUUGACGCGGGUGGCCUGUUACAUACUUGAAGAGUGAGCUUCAGCACACACCGGCUACACACAGACCACACACCUCUGAGCUGGGUGAUGAGAGACACCAAACGGUGCUCCUGGAGAACCCUCUCCAGCUUCUUCUGCAUGUACUGGUCCAUGUACGCCUCGAAUGUGUUCUUGAACAGGAUCCGCGCUCCUGAGAGGAUGUGAUGCAACCAUUCGGGCAUGUGGAACACUAUGCGACCUGCCAGGCAACACAACUGUAGUGAGAAGCAGCUUCACCAACUUAACUCCCCACAUUGACUACGUGAUUAAAGUUGUGAUCCGCUCCUGUGGAGAUUAACGAUUUUGACCCUUUAUGACUUGGAUCUUAUUAAAGUUCACGCUAAUGGUCAAAUCCAACCACAAAACAAAGUGUUUGGAUCACUUACCCACAUACAUCAUGUAAUCAUACAUUCCCUCAACUAUGGUCACUUCCAUGAAGUAGUUCUGGUUCUGCUUCCUCUCCACAGUCUCAGACAGAUUUGCAUUGUUCCUGAACAGGUUGUUGACGAGCUAUAAACGAGGAUAGGAGUAUCAGUCAUACAAACUCCUUCUCAAUCAUCUACUGUACUUUCUGAAUGCGCUAUUUGUACGUCACUUUGGGUCAAAGCGUUUGCCGAAAGAACAAAAUGUAAAUGUUGAGCCAGAUUUCGAGUCACGACAGAUGAUCAGUUUGUGAACCGGGAGUUGGAUAAGCUGGUGGUUGAUGACUCGCCUUCUUAUCAUACUCGGCUGUGGGGCUGAGUAUGGUCAGUUCUGGUCUGCUGGGUUUGGGCUUGGGUGACUCGCAAGAGUUGAAAAAAGACUGGAUGAAUGGUUCCAAAUUCUGCCCUUUCUGGAACGAAGCAUAGAGAAAACAGACCAUGUGGAAUAUAGUUGUGUUUCAAAUCAAGACUCAAAUUCAUGUUUUUCAUGCCAAACAGAGGUACUGUUUUCCUACCUCUUUCAUAAGCUUUCCAGGAACAGAUUUGAAAAUUUUACCUGCGGUUUAACAAUCAGAGAUAAAAGAAACGUAAAAAAGAAGAAAAUACACAAAUCAAUAGUUCUCAAAUGAAUUGUCUUGGUGUUGUGCUGAACUGUACAGAGACGUCUUACCCAGAUUAACAUCAGGCAGCAUCUUGUCCAGGAACUGAGAUUCCAUACUGUGUGGGGACAGGAAGUCCGCAAGCAGCUGGCUGUUACUCAGCUCUGGGUGCUGCAG